GACGAACGCNNGCGGCGUGCUUAACACAUGCAAGUCGAACGUGAUUUUUAUGGAAAGCCCUUCGGGGACGGAAGUAAAAUGAAAGUGGCGAACGGGUGAGUAACACGUGAGCAACCUACCUUACACAGGGGGAUAGCCGUUGGAAACGACGAUUAAUACCGCAUGAGACCACAAAGCCACAUGGCUUAGGGGUAAAAGAUUUAUCGGUGUAAGAUGGGCUCGCGUCUGAUUAGCUAGUUGGAAGGGUAAAGGCCUACCAAGGCGACGAUCAGUAGCCGGUCUGAGAGGAUGAACGGCCACAUUGGAACUGAGACACGGUCCAAACUCCUACGGGAGGCAGCAGUGGGGAAUAUUGCACAAUGGGGGGAACCCUGAUGCAGCGACGCCGCGUGAGCGAAGAAGGUUUUCGAAUCGUAAAGCUCUGUCCUAUGAGAAGAUAAUGACGGUAUCAUAGGAGGAAGCCCCGGCUAAAUACGUGCCAGCAGCCGCGGUAAUACGUAUGGGGCGAGCGUUGUCCGGAAUUAUUGGGCGUAAAGGGUACGUAGGCGGCCUUUUAAGUCAGGUGUGAAAGCGUGAGGCUUAACCUCAUUAAGCACUUGAAACUGGAAGGCUUGAGUGAAGGAGAGGAAAGUGGAAUUCCUAGUGUAGCGGUGAAAUGCGUAGAUAUUAGGAGGAAUACCGGUGGCGAAGGCGACUUUCUGGACUUUUACUGACGCUCAGGUACGAAAGCGUGGGGAGCAAACAGG
rnacentral:rRNA from 1 species